CUCCACCCAAAAGUCUUAGUAUUAAUGGCCAUAUUUCUUUCCAUACACAUCCCAGUCGCCAUAGUACAUGCCCUAAAUUAGAUAGCAGUCAAAGCUAUGCAUCUCUAUUUGUCAACUUACACACAUUUGCACUGGCACAAAGCACAUUCUAUAACAUCGAUUACCAAUCAUGACAGCACAAACCUAAACAAAAUCACUCCCAUGCCAUGACAUGCCUUUUCUUUCCUCUUCUGUGCCACAGUUUGCCUAUACACAGAGGCCCAUGAGGCUAACCCAUGGAUAGGACUGGCACUCAUAUUCUGAUUUGUUUUAAUUUGAUUUUUCUCAAUAGUAUAACAGCUUGUUGUCUAAAUGGGGUAAUCUACACACAUGAACUAAG